UACGAAGGGGGCUAGCGUUGUCCGGAUUUACUGGGCGUAAAGAGCGCGCAGGCGGUCGUUCAAGUCGAGUGUGAAAGCCCCCGGCUCAACUGGGGAGGGUCACUCGAUACUGAUCGACUUGAAGGCAGGAGAGGGAAGCGGAAUUCCCGGUGUAGUGGUGAAAUUCGUAGAUAUCGAGAGGAACACCGGUGGCGAAGGCGGCCUUCCGGACAGUAACUGACGCUGAGACGCGAAAGCGUGGGGAGCAAACAGG
rnacentral:rRNA from 1 species